AACGCCUUCUGAACGCUGGACGU
rnacentral:siRNA from 1 species